GAUGAACGCUGGCGGCGUGCCUAAUACAUGCAAGUCGAGCGAACGGACGAGAAGCUUGCUUCUCUGAUGUUAGCGGCGGACGGGUGAGUAACACGUGGAUAACCUACCUAUAAGACUGGGAUAACUUCGGGAAACCAGAGCUAAUACCGGAUAAUAUUUUGAACCGCAUGGUUCAAAAGUGAAAGACGGUCUUGCUGUCACUUAUAGAUGGAUCCGCGCUGCAUUAGCUAGUUGGUAAGGUAACGGCUUACCAAGGCAACGAUGCAUAGCCGACCUGAGAGGGUGAUCGGCCACACUGGAACUGAGACACGGUCCAGACUCCUACGGGAGGCAGCAGUAGGGAAUCUUCCGCAAUGGGCGAAAGCCUGACGGAGCAACGCCGCGUGAGUGAUGAAGGUCUUCGGAUCGUAAAACUCUGUUAUUAGGGAAGAACAUAUGUGUAAGUAACUGUGCACAUCUUGACGGUACCUAAUCAGAAAGCCACGGCUAACUACGU
rnacentral:rRNA from 1 species